CGGGGUGAGUAAUGCCUAGGAAUCUGCCUGGUAGUGGGGGACAACGUUUCGAAAGGAACGCUAAUACCGCAUACGUCCUACGGGAGAAAGCAGGGGACCUUCGGGCCUUGCGCUAUCAGAUGAGCCUAGGUCGGAUUAGCUAGUUGGUGAGGUAAUGGCUCACCAAGGCGACGAUCCGUAACUGGUCUGAGAGGAUGAUCAGUCACACUGGAACUGAGACACGGUCCAGACUCCUACGGGAGGCAGCAGAG
rnacentral:rRNA from 1 species